rnacentral:rRNA from 1 species
AGUGAACGCUGGCGGUAGGCCUAGCACAUGCAAGUCGAACGGCAGCACAGUAAGAGCUUGCUCUUACGGGUGGCGAGUGGCGGACGGGUGAGGAAUACAUCGGAAUCUACUUUUUCGUGGGGGAUAACGUAGGGAAACUUACGCUAAUACCGCAUACGACCUACGGGUGAAAGCAGGGGAUCUUCGGACCUUGCGCGAUUGAAUGAGCCGAUGUCGGAUUAGCUAGUUGGCGGGGUAAAGGCCCACCAAGGCGACGAUCCGUAGCUGGUCUGAGAGGAUGAUCAGCCACACUGGAACUGAGACACGGUCCAGACUCCUACGGGAGGCAGCAGUGGGGAAUAUUGGACAAAGGGCGCAAGCCUGAUCCAGCCAUACCGCGUGGGUGAAGAAGGCCUUCGGGUUGUAAAGCCCUUUUGUUGGGAAAGAAAAGCAGCAGGUUAAUACCCCGCUGUUCUGACGGUACCCAAAGAAUAAGCACCGGCUAACUUCGUG